rnacentral:rRNA from 1 species
UACGGGGGGGACGAGCGUUGUUCGGAUUUACUGGGCGUAAAGGGCGCGUAGGCGGGCCUUCAAGUCGGGUGUGAAAACUGAAAGCUAAACUUUCAGACUGCAUUCGAUACUGUUGGUCUUGAGUACAGUAGAGGAAAGCGGAAUUCCAGGUGUAGCGGUGAAAUGCGUAGAUAUCUGGAAGAACACCAGUAGCGAAGGCGGCUUUCUGGGCUGAUACUGACGCUAAAGCGCGAAGGCUUGGGUAGCAAACAGG